rnacentral:rRNA from 1 species
CUACGUGCCAGCAGCCGCGGUAAUACGUAUGUCACAAGCGUUAUCCGGAUUUAUUGGGCGUAAAGCGCGUCUAGGUGGUUAUGUAAGUCUGAUGUGAAAAUGCAGGGCUCAACUCUGUAUUGCGUUGGAAACUGCAUGACUAGAGUACUGGAGAGGUAAGCGGAACUACAAGUGUAGAGGUGAAAUUCGUAGAUAUUUGUAGGAAUGCCGAUGGGGAAGCCAGCUUACUGGACAGAUACUGACGCUAAAGCGCGAAAGCGUGGGUAGCAAACAGGAUUAGAUACCCUGGUAGUCCACGCCGUAAACGAUGAUUACUAGGUGUUGGGGGUCGAACCUCAGCGCCCAAGCUAACGCGAUAAGUAAUCCGCCUGGGGAGUACGUACGCAAGUAUGAAACUCAAAGGAAUUGACGGGGACCCGCACAAGCGGUGGAGCAUGUGGUUUAAUUCGACGCAACGCGAGGAACCUUACCAG